GUUGUUGCAGUUAAAAAGCUCGUGGUUGAAUUUCGGGAUCAAUAUUUCGGUCAUGCCGUUGGUAUGCACUGUUAUCAUUGAUUUCUCACCUUCUAAAGAACCGUAAUGCCAUUAAUUUGGUGUUACGGGGAAUUAGGACUGUUACCUUGAAAAAAUUAGAGUGUUUAAAGCAGGCUCACGCUUGAAUACAUUAGCAUGGAAUAAUGAAAUAGGACAUCCGAUUCUAUUUUGUUGGUUUCUAGGAUCGAUGUAAUGAUUAAUAGGGAUAGUUGGGGGCAUUAGUAUUCAAUUGUCAGAGGUGAGAUUCUUGGAUUUAUUGAAGACUAACUACUGCGAAAGCAUUUGCCAAGGAUGUUUUCAUUAAUCAAGAACGAAAGUUAGGGGAUCGAAGACGAUCAGAUACCGUCGUAGUCUUAACCAUAAACUAUGCCGACUAGGGAUCGGAUGAUGUUAAUUUUUUAAUGACUCAUUCGGCGCCUUACGGGAAAC
rnacentral:rRNA from 1 species